AUGGCUGAGGAGCUGGUGCUCGACACGGCGAUCCGGGACUGGGUCCUCAUCCCGCUCUCCGUGGUCAUGGUGCUCAUCGGCGUGCUCCGCUACUUCGUCUCCAAGCUCAUGCGCUCCCCGCCGUCGGCCUCCCCCUCCCCCGACCCCAAGACCGUCAAGGAGGGGCAGGUCGUCAUCAGGGCGAGGAACCUGAGGAACGGCGCGCAGUUCAUCCCGGCCAAGGCCUUCAAAGCCCGCAAGCUUUAUUACACCAACGGGGAAGCCGGAUUGCUUCAUGUUCCUAAAGAGGAUGCGCAGAAGGCUCAGGCCGCUAUGUUUUCAGACCCAAACAUGGCCAUGGACAUGAUGAAGAAGAAUCUCUCCAUGAUAGUUCCACAGACGCUUACAUUUGCAUGGGUGAACUUCUUCUUUUCCGGUUUUGUUGCAGCGAAAAUCCCCUUCCCAUUGACUCAACGAUUCAGGGGAAUGCUGCAAAAUGGGAUAGACCUGAGUACUGUUGAUGUGAGCUAUGUUAGCAGCCGUUCAUGGUACUUCCUCAAUUUGUUUGGCUUGAGGGGUCUUUUCAGUCUCAUCCUUGGUGAAGAAAAUGCUACUGAUGAUGCCCAAAAGAUGAUGGCGAUGGGUGGUGGAAUGGGCUUUAAUCCAGCAAUGAGCUUGAGCGCAGAGAAAGACAGCCUCGACAUCAUCCAGCAUGACUGGGCUUUACCGAAGAUGGAGCGUCAUGCCGAAGAGGUGUUGAGGAAACUACUGAAGAAUUGA
rnacentral:rRNA from 1 species